rnacentral:rRNA from 1 species
GACGUAGGGCGCGAGCGUUGUCCGGAUUUAUUGGGCGUAAAGAGCUCGUAGGCGGCCUGUUGCGUCCGCUGUGAAAUCCCGGGGCAUCAAGCCCUGGGCCGUGCAGUGGAUACGGGCAAGGCUGGAGGCAGGCAGGGGAGAACGGAAUUCCCGGUGGUAGCGGUAGAAAUGCGCAGAUAUCGGGAAGGAACACCGGUGGCGAAGGCGGUUCUCUGG